AGAGUUAAACAGUACGUGAAAUUGUUGAAAGGGAAACGAUUGAAGUCAGUCGUGCGAACGGGGAUUCAACCUUUUUGAGCGUGGACACGUGGGAUUCGAGGACCCCUCGACCUCGCGGCAUUCGCGUUCUUGGGGUGCACUUUCUCGUAACGUAGGUCAGCAUCGGUUUCGAGGAUCACAAAAUGAUCGGGGGAAUGUGGCUUCGACCUCGGUUGAAGUGUUAUAGACCCUGGUAGACGUGAUCGUCGGGACCGAGGAUUGCAACGGAUGCCCGAUCGGGCCAUUCGCCUGGCCUCUGAUUCGUCACCCUGGCGUUGAAAGCGUGCUUAUGACGUUAGGGCGCUCGGUCAAAAGGUCAGAACGGAUUGAAUCCGUUAAGGAUGUUGACGUAAUGACUUUAAACGA
rnacentral:misc_RNA from 1 species